rnacentral:rRNA from 1 species
CGGCAAUAGCUCAAAUUUGAAAUCUGGCCUCCUUGGGGGUCCGAGUUGUAAUUUGUAGAGGGUGCUUCGGCGUAGCUGCGGUAUAAGUUCCUUGGAACAGGACGUCAUAGAGGGUGAGAAUCCCGUACGUUGCCGCGUGUCGACCGCCAUGUGAAGCCCCUUCGAC